rnacentral:rRNA from 1 species
UACGUAGGGCCCGAGCGUUGUCCGGAAUCAUUGGGCGUAAAGAGCGCGUAGGCGGUCUGCUAAGUCUUGCGUGAAAUCUCGGGGCUCAACCCCGAGCGGUCGUGAGAAACUGGCGGGCUAGAGUGCGGGAGAGGAGAGUGGAAUUCCUGGUGUAGCGGUGAAAUGCGCAGAUAUCAGGAAGAACACCCGUGGCGAAGGCGGCUCUCUGGAACGCAACUGACGCUGAGACGCGAAAGCGUGGGGAGCAAACAGG